AUGUAAACUAGUGGUAACAGAGGGGUGGGAAGUGAUUAUACUAUGCAAGGUAAAGGGAAAGAGACUCAAGUCACUCAAUCCUCGUUCUCUUGAGUACUACACAACAACCUGUAGGGGUGCCAACCAGUGACCUAGCAGGCAUGGAUAGAUGUGAAGUUGACAUCUCCUCAACUCUGUAGAGAAAGUAUGUACAAAAUGUCUCUAAAGCACUUGACCCUCAAGUGUGUCUCUUCGAGGGAGUUGAGCAACCUUUUCGUGGAGCAAGCAGUACUAUACAUUGUGGCAAUUGCACAUGCAAUAUUUUCUGAUAAGAGUAAGAAGGACAUGCUAUGCAAUCUGCUUUUGCAAGAUAAUAAGGUUGGCCAAUCAUUUAUUCCAUACAUGGUUGCAAAGGUUGCUCACUCACUUCCAAUCAUUACUUUCAAGCUUCAAUCACAGGACACUAUAACUGGAUUCUUGCUGGCUGGAGUGGGUGAUGUGACUUACGGAAGAAGACAAACUACCUCAUUGUUGAUUCAAACCUCAGAUCAUAAAGGCUAUUCAACAAAAGGAAUGAAGAAAUGAAGAGAUAAAAGAGGAAGAAACAACUCUGUUUGGUAUCAGAACUUGGAGAAAAUAUCAAGUUGUAGCAGACAUCUGUCUAAAGGUAUCAGACCUCCAGCAUUAAGCAUGAAAGCACAUUUGAAUGUAUCAAGCUUGCAAGAUUUUCAAUCCAAUGUUAGAAGACUGGUCAUCGGGACUCUGAAAAAAGCAAAGAAAAUCAAAGGGGAACAGAAAGGGAAAUGACUUACAAUAAGAACCUUACCCGUAAUUCAAAUUCUUGUAUGGUAAAAGCUGUUGAUUUUAGGCAUGAGUGGGGGAGAUCUUCUCAACAUUCGACCUUCCAAGCUCAAGU